AGAUUGAGAGAGAGAGAGAGAAGGCUUUGAGAAGUAUUUUUGGAGGAAAUGGAGCGAGGAAGGGAGAAGACUUUGUUGAGUAUGCAAAAUCAAGGAAGAAGGAAUUCAUUAUUUCUUCUUUUCAUCUCUUAUUAUUUUUAAUCAAAGUUUAUUUUGUUUAAUUAAUUUUAAUUUUAAAAUGGGUCCCACAUUGAGUUGGAUGCCAAUGCCACAUCUUUAGUAAAAAAAUAAUUUUUAAUUGAAGUCCAUACCGUGUUCGUGCCACAUCAUCAUAAGCUAACUAUGCCAAGGUAUUUGGUUCUAAACUGCUAGUGAUGUAAAAUGCAAGGUGCUAAAAUGUUAAGAAAAAUUUCACAAAGUCUUGAAGUGUACCCUUUGUAUGGGAAGAGGUUUUUAAAA
rnacentral:misc_RNA from 1 species